CAGAAAGUUACAAGCAACAGUGUGGAUGCCUUGGCGACAUCUGGCGAAGAAGGACGCGACAAGCUGCGAUAAGCCCCGGGGAGCCGCAAAUAGGCCGAUCCGGGGAUUUCCGAAUGGGGAAACCCUGUCAGCAAUGACAAUCCUGUCCUGAAUUCAAUAGGGGCAGAGAAGCAAACCUGGAGAAGUGAAACAUCUCAGUAUCCAGAGGAAAAGAAAGCGAAUGCGAUUCCCUCAGUAGUGGCGAACGAAAGGGGAACAGCCCAAACCAAGAGGACUUGUCCUCCUGGGGUACGGGCCUCAAUGUGAGACUGAAGAGGUUAGGCGAAGCGUUUGAAUGACGCGUCAUAGAGGGUGAGAACCCCGUAGCCAAAAACCCGAUCAGCUCUAGAGGUACCCAGAGUAGCACCGGACACGUGAAACCCGGUGUGAAAAAAACGCAGACCACUGCGUAAGGCUAAAUACACGAUGUCGACCGAUAGUGAAGAGUACCGCGAGGGAAAGGUGAAAAGCACCCCUGUUAGGGGAGUGAAAAGUACCUGAAACCUGUUGCUUACAAGCGGUCGGAGCCCCCUCGUGGGGUGACGGCGUACCUUUUGCAUAAUGGGUCUGGGAGUUAACGUAAGGAGCCAGCCUAAGGUCCCUCAGGACCGGAGGCGCAGCGAAAGCGAGUCUGAAUAGGGCGUUUAGUUCCUUGCGUUAUACCCGAAGCGGAGGUGAUCUACCCAUGACCAGGUUGAAGCCCAAGUAACAUUGGGUGGAGGACCGAACUGAUGGCACUUGAGAAUGCCCCGGAUGAGUUGUGGGUAGGAGUGAAAGGCUAAUCAAACCCCGUAAUAGCUGGUUCUCUCCGAAAUAUAUUUAGGUAUAGCGUCCAGCGCUGACCCGUGGGGGUAGAGCACUGAAAAGGCUAGGGGACACACCCGUCUACCAACCCUUAUCAAACUCCGAAUACCACGGGGCGAAGCUGGGCAGUCAGGCAGUGGGGGAUAAGCUUCAUUGCCGAGAGGAAAACAGUCCAGACCACCAAUUAAGGCCCCAAAGACGUAGCUAAGUGGAUUAAAGAAUGUGAACUUGCACAGACAAUAGGGAUGUUGGCUUAGAGGCAGCCACCAUUUAAACAGUGCGUAACAGCUGACCUAUCGAGUGAGUUUGCGUCUAAGAUGAUCGGGACUAAGCGACGCGCCGAAGUUGUGGGCUUUAGCAGCAAUGCUAAAGCGGUAGGAGAGCGUUCCAGCAGCGGUGAAGCGGAAGCGGUAAGCGACCGUGGAGCGGCUGGAAGUGAGUAUCCAGACAUAAGUAACGAUAAGAAUGGUUGAAAUCCAUUCCGCCGUAAGGAUAAGGUUUCCAGGGCAAGGGUCGUCCCCCCUGGGUUAGUCGGGAGCUAAGCCGAGGCCGUAAGGAGUAGGCGAUGCACAUCAGGUUAAUAUUCCUGAACCAAGUAGAGAGGACGGGAUCAUGGAGUCAGCAGACCUUAUUGACUUGGCAGUCCGAGGCUACGGCCGAGGACGCGCUGAUGAAGUGAUCUCCAGGAAAAGCCUCUACAUUAGCCCGUACCGCAAACCGACACAGGUAUCCGGGAUGAGUAUUCUAAGGCGCGUGAGUUAAACCUCCUCAAGGAACUCGACAAAUUAACCCCGUAUCUUCGGUAUAAGGGGUGCUCCGGGCAACCGGAGUCGCAGUGAAGAGGCCCUACCGACUGUUUAGCAAAAACACAGCUCUCUGCUAAGUCGCAAGACGACGUAUAGGGAGUGACGUGUGACCAAUGCGGAAAGGUGAAAGCUGGAGCUGCAAGGUUCCGGUCUAAGCCCCCGUGAAUGUCGGCCGUAACUAUAACGGUCCUAAGGUAGCGAAAUUCCUUGUCGGGUAAGUUCCGACCUGCACGA
rnacentral:rRNA from 1 species